AGUUUCCCCUCGGCCGUCCCCGUCUUCGCGCGUCCCCUCGACCCGCUCCGCCCCCGACUGGUACCGCGCCUUUAGUGUCCCCCCUGCUUCGACUCACCCAGGAAGAUGCUUUCUUGAAAUAAAAGGUUCUAUAAACAGAAAUAAAAGAGGAAGAGAGAAUGGACGAAGUGCCGAUAAAGUAAA